rnacentral:rRNA from 1 species
UGACAUCCGCCCGGGAAUUGACGAACAAAAGUUUAAAACCCAAAGGACUUGGCGGUGCUUAACAUCCACCUAGAGGAGCCUGUUCUAUAACCGAUAAUCCCCGUUAAACCUCACCCCCCCUUGCCAAAAUCCGCCUAUAUACCGCCAUCGUCAGUCCACCCUGUGAAGGCCCCGCAGUCGACAAAACCGCAACAACCCCAAACGUUAGGUCGAGGUGUAGUGUAUGGGGAGGGAAGAAAUGGGCUACAUUUGCUACAACAGCAUAACACGAAUGUUGUUCUGAAACAUACAACUGAAGGAGGAUUUUAGCAGUAAGCAGAAAAUAGAGCGUUCUACUGAAAAUGGCACUUAAGCGCGCACACACCGGCCGUCAUCCUCAAAAAAA